CUCCUGAUCCAUCCUUAGUCAAAGGUUCCCAUAUCAGUUGUCAGAAUGACACAGUUUAGUCUGUCAGAAUUAACUUUGUGUAUAUAUUUCCUUCUUUUUCCAGGGCGAUAUGAUCUCAGAUUGCCUCAGAUUAGAUGCAAAGCAUGUGAAGCCACUUGGAGUCCUGGAGUGGAUGACCUGAUCCGUAAUGACUACUGGCCUGCCACUUCUCACUAUUCAACUGUGUAUGCAACAGAUGUCCUUUUUUUCUUUUUGAAGAGCUGAAGAUGGCAGCACCAGGGAUGUCUAGCCAAGCAUUUCUUAGAAUGCUGGAUCAACGCACUGUUCGAUUUGGCCGUAGUGGAAACAUCACAGCAGACAGCUUCCGGAAAAGCUUCUUGGAGUGGGAAGCUGUCCGAUUCGAAGUGGACAAAUUAUGCCAGGAGGACCACUUUGACUGCCCAGCGUGCAGCCCAGACAUGCUUGCAGUAUCCGUUGAUGGAAACCGUAAGCACUACAGAUUCAAGAGUGCAGCAAGGUACUGUGUGUGCAUUGACGGUCCAUUACUUUGAAAGUAACUGCUGUGAAUUGAAAAAUCAUAUGAAUAUUUAAAGUUAAUAUGUAUCUCUUUUUAUUUAGAUCGGAGGAAAAAAAGCCAUCUUUGAUGGCGUGUUCAUCGCAAAUGAUGAUGAUGUCGCAAGAUUCGUGGACUAUGUCCAUACCUCAACCAGUCAUGUAAACUUGCACAACUUCUCUAUAUUUACCUAUAAAACACCACGUCCUACAGAGGACUUAGUUUGAACAAGUUUGGAAUGUUAAACAUCUUCCAUGUUUUAGGUCUCUGGAAGAGGUGUCUGUGGAGGGCAAUGGUCAGCGGCGCGUGAAACUUCUCAGAAGUCCUCAGGAAAAACAGACGAGGAGGGCCUGGAACUCGCUGUAUGUCGUCAUGGGGUUCUCCUUCGUGCCCUCAAUAUGUUCAGGGGGGAGAUUUUUGCCUACCCCCUGUACCUCCAAAAGCAAAUGGCCUGUAAGCCAGUUAAAUUUUUUGCAAUGGAUGUGGCAUGCAAGUACUGGCCUUACCUCCAGAGAGUGACAGAGAAAUGCCCUGAGCUUGAGGAUCUCCUCACCAUGAGGCCAUUUCUUUCUGUUUUUCAUGCCAAAGCUCAUGAUUUCAAAUGUGAGGUAAAAUGGAGUGGAGCAUAUCAGGAGGGGGCUGGUUCGACUCUUGGGGAAGAGGUGGAGCAGUGCAACGCCUUCCUCUCGAGGAUUGCUGUUACGACAAAGCACAUGUCAAAAAGCAGGUAAGGUAACCAGUAAAUUUUGAUCCUGAUGACAUGGGUGAGCCACUUAUGCAUACAUGCUGACUCUGAAAAAUAUAAAGAUCAGAAUAUAUUAAACACAAAUGGAUGGAUCGAUUACAAUAACAUCAUCCUAUUUUUAUUUGACGUGAGGAUAAUAAGGAAGGGCAGUGCGAUAUAAAAAAACACAUCCAAGUACCAUUCACCUACUGUCCUGCCAUAGUGCUCCAUACCAUUUAAAUACUGUCCUGCGCCACUGUGUCAUGCUAUUUCUUCACUAUCCUGUGCGAUUUACCUAACCCUUUCAUGGGACAGUAAUCAAAUGGCACAAGACAGCAGAUUAGUACCAUAGUACUGUACUGUAAGUUAUUAUCUCUGAAAAGUUUGUGAUUCAAGUCUGCACAGUUUCUUCUCCUACUGCUACUGGAAAGAAGGGUGAUAAUCUCAUAUUUUUUAUUUUUGCAGGACGCAUAGACAUGCUGACGAUCAUGGCCAUGCGCUGGAACCAACAAAAGUUUGACAACUUGGCUUCUACCCUUGCCCGCCGAUAUCGGAAGGUAAAGACACCAGUUUUCCCUUAUGCAAAAUGCAUAGCGAUAUUGUAAAAUAAAGCAAAUAAAUGGCAUAUAUCACAAAAAUAUAGAGAAC
ensembl:lncRNA